AAUGCCAAGUGGGUGUGGCAGCCUGCCUAUUAUUCCAGCCUCAAAGGGAGACAUAGGAUGCCCCAAGCAAGCAAGCAAGCAAGCAGGCUAGAAAUAGUAGCCACAGCAGGAAGCUCUGGGUUUUAUUGAGACCUCACCUCAGUGUGUAAGGUACAGGAGUGACUGAGGCAGAGUCUCAGCCUCAUCCUCAAGCAUCCAUAUGCAUCCAUAUGCACACAUAACCAUGCAUACCACAAACACAAAGAAGAAAGGGAUAAGGUGAGAGCUGAGGGCUUGGAUAUUGGAAAGCUAGCAGGGAAAGUUAACAAAAGAGGCCCUCAUGAACAGGAAAGCUACUAAAGACCUAAAGUGAAAAGACGCCUUUAUCCAGUGGGCUGUAUACGGAAGAGUCUUGUUCCAGCGGAGUCCUGGCUAUCUAAGCACAAAAAGUCUACUGUGCUGGGCAUGUCAGCACAGCACCUGGGCUCCCAGCACUGAGGAGGAAAGUCAAGAGGAUCAGUAGUUCAAGGCCAGCCUGGAC
rnacentral:lncRNA from 1 species